rnacentral:tRNA from 1 species
AAAAUCCGUCGAUUAUUUCAAUCGUGAGGGUUCAAGUCCCUCUAUCCCCA